rnacentral:rRNA from 1 species
GUAUUCUAAGGCGCUUGAGAGAACUCAGGAGAAGGAACUCGGCAAAUUGACACCGUAACUUCGGAAGAAGGUGUGCCUUUAGUAGGUGAACCUGUACAAGGGGAGCCCAAUGAGGUUGCAAAAAAUCGGUGGCUGCGACUGUUUAUUAAAAACACAGCACUCUGCAAACACGAAAGUGGACGUAUAGGGUGUGACGCCUGCCCGGUGCUGGAAGAUUAAAUGAUGGGGUGCAAGCUCUUGAUUGAAGUCCCAGUAAACGGCGGCCGUAACGAUAACGGUCCUAAGGUAGCGAAAUUCCUUGUCGGGUAAGUUCCGACCUGCACGAAUGGCGUAACGAUGGCCACACUGUCUCCUCCUGAGACUCAGCGAAGUUGAAAUGUUUGUGAUGAUGCAAUCUCCCCGCGGAAAGACGGAAAGACCCCAUGAACCUUUACUGUAGCUUUGUAUUGGACUUUGAACAGAUCUGUGUAGGAUAGGUGGGAGGCUUUGAAGCAGGGUCGCUAGAUUUUGUGGAGCCAACGUUGAAAUACCACCCUGGUGUGUUUGAGGUUCUAACCUAGGUCCAUUAUCUGGAUCGGGGACAGUGCAUGGUAGGCAGUUUGACUGGGGCGGUCUCCUCCCAAAGCGUAACGGAGGAGUUCGAAGGUACGCUAGUUACGGUCGGACAUCGUGACGAUAGUGCAAUGGCAUAAGCGUGCUUAACUGCGAGACUGACAAGUCGAGCAGAUGCGAAAGCAGGACAUAGUGAUCCGGUGGUUCUGUAUGGAAGGGCCAUCGCUCAACGGAUAAAAGGUACUCUGGGAUAACAGGCUGAUACCGCCCAAGAGUUCAUAUCGACGGCGGUGUUUGGCACCUCGAUGUCGGCUCAUCUCAUCCUGGGGCUGUAGCCGGUCCCAAGGGUAUGGCUGUUCGCCAUUUAAAGAGGUACGUGAGCUGGGUUUAAAACGUCGUGAGACAGUUUGGUCCCUAUCUUCCGUGGGCGCUGCAGAUUUGAGGAAGCCUGCUCCUAGUACGAGAGAACCGGAGUGGACAUACCUCUGGUGUAUCGGUUGUCACGCCAGUGGCAUUGCCGAGUAGCUAAGUAUGGAAGAGAUAAACGCUGAAAGCAUCUAAGCGUGAAACUCGUUUCAAGAUGAGAUCUGCCGGGGCCUUGAGCCCCCUAAAGAGUCGUUCAAGACCAGGACGUUGAUAGGUCAGGUGUGGAAGCGCAGUAAUGCGUUAAGCUAACUGAUACUAAUUGCUCGUGCGGCUUGACCCC